rnacentral:rRNA from 1 species
AACGAACGCUGGCGGCAUGCCUAACACAUGCAAGUCGAACGAUUGCCUUCGGGUGAUAGUGGCGCACGGGUGCGUAACGCGUGGGAAUCUGCCCUUAGGUUCGGAAUAACAGCUGGAAACGGCUGCUAAUACCGGAUGAUAUCGCGAGAUCAAAGAUUUAUCGCCUGAGGAUGAGCCCGCGUUGGAUUAGGUAGUUGGUGGGGUAAAGGCCUACCAAGCCGACGAUCCAUAGCUGGUCUGAGAGGAUGAUCAGCCACACUGGGACUGAGACACGGCCCAGACUCCUACGGGAGGCAGCAGUGGGGAAUAUUGGAAAAUGGGCGCAAGCCUGAUCCAGCAAUGCCGCGUGAGUGAUGAAGGCCCUAGGGUUGUAAAGCUCUUUUACCCGGGAAGAUAAUGACUGUACCGGGAGAAUAAGCCCCGGCUAACUCCGUG